rnacentral:ncRNA from 2 species
CCGACCAACUCUGGAGAGCGCCGGCUUGGGCCGGACACCGAAGGGGCUAACGGCAUCCUGCGGCGGCACUGCGCCGCCCGUGCCGGAAAAUCUCAGGUAAUCAGGACAGAGGGGUGUUG